AGUGAACGCUGGCGGUAGGCCCAACACAUGCAAGUCGAACGGCAGCACAGUAAGAGCUUGCUCUUACGGGUGGCGAGUGGCGGACGGGUGAGGAAUACAUCGGAAUCUACUUUUUCGUGGGGGAUAACGUAGGGAAACUUACGCUAAUACCGCAUACGACCUACGGGUGAAAGCAGGGGAUCUUCGGACCUUGCGCGAUUGAAUGAGCCGAUGUCGGAUUAGCUAGUUGGCAGGGUAAAGGCCCACCAAGGCGACGAUCCGUAGCUGGUCUGAGAGGAUGAUCAGCCACACUGGAACUGAGACACGGUCCAGACUCCUACGGGAGGCAGCAGUGGGGAAUAUUGGACAAUGGGCGCAAGCCUGAUCCAGCCAUACCGCGUGGGUGAAGAAGGCCUUCGGGUUGUAAAGCCCUUUUGUUGGGAAAGAAAAGCAGCAGGUUAAUACCCCGCUGUUCUGACGGUACCCAAAGAAUAAGCACCGGCUAACUUCGUG
rnacentral:rRNA from 1 species